GGAUUAGAUACCCUAUUAUUGUAGAUAUAAUUUAUUUAAACUUGAGUAGUAUUAGUUAUGGUCUUAAAACUUAAAGAAUUUGGCGGUAUCUUAGUCUGUUCAGAGGAAUCUGUCCUAUAAUCGAUAGUCCGCGUUGAACCUUACUUGAUUUUAUUUAGUAUGUAUACCGCCGUUUAUUGAAAAUCUUUUUAGGGUAUUUUCUUGAAAUUUUAUUUAGUAGUAUUUCAGGUCAAGGUGCAGCUUAUAAUUAAGUGGAGAUGGAUUACAUUUCAAUAAUGAAUAAUGAAUUAUUAGUUGUAAUUUUAGUAUGAAGGUGGAUUUGAUAGUAAUUUUGUAUAUAUUGUUGUUGUGAUUAGAGCUCUAAGAUGUGCACACAUCGCCCGUCGCUCUCGUUAAUUAAGAUGAGAUAAGUC
rnacentral:rRNA from 1 species